rnacentral:rRNA from 1 species
GCCUACGGGGCGCAGCAGUGGGGAAUAUUGGGCAAUGGACGCAAGUCUGACCCAGCAACGCCGCGUGAAGGAAGAAGGCUUUCGGGUUGUAAACUUCUUUUCAGGGGGAAGAGCAGAAGACGGUACCCCUUGAAUAAGCCACGGCUAACUACGUGCCAGCAGCCGCGGUAAUACGUAGGUGGCAAGCGUUAUCCGGAUUUACUGGGUGUAAAGGGCGUGUAGCCGGGCUGACAAGUCAGAUGUGAAAUCCGGGGGCUCAACCCCCGAACUGCAUUUGAAACUGUUGGUCUUGAGUAGCGGAGGGG